GUGCCUCAUGCGGCCUGAUCAUCCCCCGUAUAUAUAGGACCCGGUGACGACUGGUCCUCUGCCAGUUCGUUGAGCUUUAUGUCCCGUUCCAGCACUCUCGUACUCCUGACUGAACCUGUGUGUACCGACCUUCGUCCGUUCUCCGACCAACCCUAAUACAAUGCGUUUUCCAUCCAUCCAUUUUCUUCACCGCUUAUCCUCACGAGGUGUGCUGGAGCCUAUCCCAGCUGUCAACAGGCAGGAGGUGGGAGGAAACCGGAGUGCCCAGAGGAAACACAUGCAGGCACGGGGAGAACAUGCAGACUGUAGACAGCUGGGUCCGGGAUUGAACCCGGGACCUCAGAACUGUGAGGCCAACGCUUUAACCGGGGGACCCACCGUGCCGCCACAAUGCACUCACUGAAUCACUGAAUUACUGAAUUAUAAAAAAAUAAUGGCGGCCGACAAGCCCCCCAUUAAGAAAUAAUGUAUAUUCAGCACUUUGUAAAGACCCGCUUAACUUCUGUGCUUAGCUCUUCAUAUUGAACUUCAACUUGUUGGCGUGACUGACAAAUUUGAGCAAAUUCGUGCGGCGACAGGAAGAUUUUUGUUUUUUUGGCAAGAGUCAGGACUCAUGAAAUCAAACAAUGUAAAUAGCUUAACAGCAUGAGAGGAGCUACUGAUAGACAGAUAGGAGCAGUUGGCGGAAAGGGAUGGGAGAGGUAAGGAGACAGGGACACAAGCAGCACUCCAGCCCACAGACGAGGUUGACAUGCCAGAGGGGGGCCGGGACAAGCAUCCCAUAAAGCAGAUAAAGAACAAUUCCAGGAACAACAAGGCUGUAGCCUCUCCUUGGAUGAGAAGAAUAGAAAGACCGACGCACAUGCUGGAUGAAGAGGACGGGGUGAACUUGAAUGCAGCAGGGAAAAUGGAGUCACAAAGUCAUUUGCUAAACAUAAAACAGUUGCCAUCAAAGCGACAAAAUUGCUUAUUGUCUGCCAAGGAUACGUUAGGCUUAACAGACAUACAGCAUAAGUCACUAAGGUAAUAUUUAUAAUAUGUGUAGUUAAAAGAUGAACUUGAGCAAUUUAGAUUUGUAUAAAUGAUAUCCUCUGGUAACGAAAGUAGAUACACACCCAAGUUAAAAUGUCAAUUGGCCAUUUUCCCUCUCUGUGGCAUGUGACUCAGUAAUGUAAGUCUUAGUUGUGAAUGGAUUUGCGCAUUUGGUGGCAUGGCAAUGAACUCUGAGGCGUUUAAAAAAAAAAAAAAACUUUUGCGCUAAAGUGCAGUUCAGAUGGCCUAGGUUAGAAGUAUUCAAAUUCAAAUCUUAAUGAACUGCAAUUUGUUUUUUUGAUGAGUCAAAGAUCCAUUUUUU